rnacentral:rRNA from 1 species
AUUGAACGCUGGCGGCAGGCCUAACACAUGCAAGUCGAACGAGUGGCGGACGGGUGAGUAAUGUCUGGGAAACUGCCCGAUGGAGGGGGAUAACUACUGGAAACGGUAGCUAAUACCGCGUACCAUCGGAUGUGCCCAGAUGGGAUUAGCUUGUAGGUGAGGUAACGGCUCACCUAGGCGACGAUCCCUAGCUGGUCUGAGAGGAUGACCAGCAACACAGGAACUGCGUCACGGUCCAGACUCCCACGUGGGGCAUCAGUGGGGAAGAUUGCAAGAUGGGCGAAAGUCUGAGGCAGCCAUGCCGCGUGUAUGAAGAAGGACUUCGGGUUGUAAAUUACGUGCACCGGCGAGGCGUUACCCGCAGAAGAAGCACCGGCUAAUUCCGUGCCAGCCGCCGCGGUAAUAC